AUGCAUCUCCUGAGAUCCAUCCUCGGAGCUUCUUCCAGCCACUCUUCUCUCGAUGACCUCAGUCAUCUCCAUGGCUUUGCGUGUGUUCCUGCCAGGCAGGGAUUCCAAAUCCAGGCAGAUGCCCUCAUCUCUCUUCUGCACUCAAGACUGGCAUCCCUAACCUGUCUGCUUCAAACUCGGCAUGCCUCAGGUGCUUGGCUGCUGGUGAUGUCAUGGUCAUCAUCAUCAUCAUCUUCGUCAGCCUCAAUUCUUGCCUACCCUGCUUAGCAGUUACUCACCAUCUCCUGUCUCUUGUAAGUUUAAUUUAAGAUAUGUCUAUCUUUUUUCCCAAGUUGAUUGAAAGCUUUCUGAGGGCAGACAUCCUGUCUUUGGAGCUCAUUACAAAUAGCAGGAAUUUGGCAAAAUCCAUUGACUGAAUUAUCUGAAUACCACAUCAACAGCCUCCUGAUGGAUGUCAUUUCCCACAUGCAGUUAAUUCUCCUUGUCAUGCACAGAAUGACCUAUUUAAAACGGAAAGUAGAUUUACUUAAUUCUCCAAUACACUCCAGUGGAUUCCUAUAGAAUUGCAAAUUCCUACCAUUGCAAGGCUCUGUAUUGGUGGGCUCCUAACUCUGGCCAAGUCUUCUGACCCCCUCUGCCUAUCUCAUAUACCAGCCACUUGGCCUUCUGGCUGCACUGCUGACAGCAGGUGUGUAGACCCCCAGCAAAGCCCUCUCCUGGCUGUGCAUCCCGCCCACAGUCCCACAGACAUCCCCCUUCAUUCAGUUCAAACGUUCAGUCUGCCAUUGACAAUAGCGUGCGUCCACCUCCCAUCCUUCUCUCCUCCCCCUGCUCUGUUGUGAGUCACUGGCUCUUCCGGUGGUAUUGAUCCCUACUCGGCACUCCAUUGCACAUUUAUUUAUUUCUGUCUCCCCUUCUGCAAUGUAAGGGCUCCAAGAGGGCAGAGACCUUGACUUGUUUAACGUGCUAUCACCAGAGCCUAGAACAGGCCAGGCACAUAGCAAACCUCCACAAAUAUUUGGCUCAUGAAUGAAAGAACAGGGGGGAAAGGGGGAGUCUUAAAAGGACUUCCACUGGGCCCAUUCUGGUAUCUUCCUCCUUCAGCCAGCAGGGGGCUCUUCUACUCUCUCUAGAAUUCUGAAUCGUUGACCAGUACCUUCGGAGUCAGGAGCCUGAAAUUAUACCGCCUCACCAAACCAGAAUUACCCCAUGUCCUCCUUUCUCCCCCUCCAAGUAGGAUUUUUCCAACCCAGGCAAAUAUUGAACUUUGUGUUAACAAACAGGUUUUACUUUUUAUAGGUGGUUCUUUAAGGAUUUUUUUUGGUUUGGGUUUUUGGAGGGUGUAAAUGUUGCUGCUAGAAAUUCUACUUUUUUAUUCACUCACAAAGAUACGUUGUCAUAAACAAAAUGUAUGGAAGCAGUGGGACAGGAGCACAGCGGUAAUGUGAGUUUAUGUAAGUGCUCAGCCCCACAGAUUAAACAGCUGACCGAAUGAGGCCAAUCAAUUACAAUGCGUAUUUAUGUCUUUUUGACAAGGAGAUGCCUCUCUCUCUGAUUUUUCUGGCCACCUUCUCCCCAGUAGCCCGUUGAUAUAUCUCGUUGGGACCAGAUGUCAGAAAUAUGUUGGUGGAUAUAACGUCUUCUUUUGAAAAAUAAAUCUUCCCCCACCUAAAAUGGGGUGGUUUUC
rnacentral:lncRNA from 12 species